rnacentral:rRNA from 1 species
GGAUAACCUGCCCUAAGGAAGGAGAUAACCUCGGGAAACUGAGGAUAAUACCCUAUAGGUUACAGAUGCUGGAAUGCCCUGUAACCGAAAGCUCCGGCGCCUUAGGAUGGAUCUGCGGCCGAUUAGGUUGUUGUUGGGGUAACGGCCCAACAAGCCGAUAAUCGGUACGGGUUGUGGGAGCAAGAGCCCGGAGUUGGAUUCUGAGACACGAAUCCAGGCCCUACGGGGCGCAGCAGGCGCGAAAACUUUACAAUGCGGGAAACCGUGAUAAGGGAACCCCGAGUGCCUGUAUAUGCAGGCUGUCCAGGUGUCUAAAAAACACCUGAAGAAAGGGCCGGGCAAGACCGGUGCCAGCCGCCGCGGUAAUACCGGCGGCUCGAGUGGUGGCCACUUUUAUUGGGCUUAAAGCGUUCGUAGCUGGGUUGUUAAGUCUCUUGGGAAAUCUGACGGCUUAACCGUCAGGCGUCUAAGAGAUACUGGCAAUCUUGGAACCGGGAGAGGUGAGGGGUACUUCGGGGGUAGGAGUGAAAUCCUGUAAUCCUCGAGGGACCACCUGUGGCGAAGGCGCCUCACCAGAACGGCUUCGACAGUGAGGGACGAAAGCUGGGGGAGCAAACCGGAUUAGAUACCCGGGUAGUCCCAGCCGUAAACGAUGCGCGUUAGGUGUAUCGGUGACCACGAGUCACCGAGGUGCCGAAGGGAAACUGUGAAACGUGCCGCCUGGGAAGUACGGUCGCAAGGCUGAAACUUAA